rnacentral:rRNA from 1 species
GGGGUGCAGCAGGCGCGAAAACUUUACAAUGCCGGCAACGGCGAUAAGGGAACCUCGAGUGCCAGGUUACAAAUCUGGCUGUCGUGAUGCCUAAAAAGCAUUGCAUAGCAAGGGCCGGGCAAGACCGGUGCCAGCCGCCGCGGUAACACCGGCGGCUCGAGUGGUAACCGUUAUUAUUGGGUCUAAAGGGUCUGUAGCCGGCCGGGUAAGUCUCUUGGGAAAUCUGGCAGCUUAACUGUCAGGCUUUCAGGAGAUACUGCCUGGCUCGAGGCCGGGAGAGGUGAGAGGUACUUCAGGGGUAGGGGUGAAAUCUUGUAAUCCUUGAAGGACCACCAGUGGCGAAGGCGUCUCACCAGAACGGACCUGACGGCAAGGGACGAAAGCUAGGGGCACGAACCGGAUUAGAUACCCGGGUAGUCCUAGCCGUAAACGAUACUCGCUAGGUGUCGGCCACGGUGCGACCGUGGUCGGUGCCGUAGGGAAGCCGUGAAGCGAGCCACCUGGGAAGUACGGCCGCAAGGCUGAAACUUAAAGGAAUUGGCGGGGGAGCACAAGGGCGAUUCGCG